GAUGAACGCUGGCGGCGUGCUUAACACAUGCAAGUCGAACGGAAAGGCCCAAGCUUGCUUGGGUACUCGAGUGGCGAACGGGUGAUUAACACGUGGGUGAUCUGCCCUGCACUUCGGGAUAAGCCUGGGAAACUGGGUCUAAUACCGGAUAGGACGAUGGUUUGGAUGCCAUUGUGGAAAGUUUUUUCGGUGUGGGAUGAGCUCGCGGCCUAUCAGCUUUUUGGUGGGGUAAUGGCCUACCAAGGCGUCGACGGGUAGCCGGCCUGAGAGGGUGUACGGCCACAUUGGGCCUGGGAUACGGCCCAGACUCCUACGGGAGGCAGCAGUGGGGAAUAUUGCACAAUGGGCGCAAGCCUGAUGCAGCGACGCCGCGUGGGGGAUGACGGCCUUCGGGUUGUAAACUGCUUUCGCUAGGGACGAAGCGUUUUUGUGACGGUACCUGGAGAAGAAGCACCGGCUAACUACGUG
rnacentral:rRNA from 1 species